CCUACGGGUGGCAGUAGUGGGGAAUAUUGGACAAUGGGGGGAACCCUGAUCCAGCCAUGCCGCGUGUGUGAAGAAGGCCCUCGGGUUGUAAAGCACUUUCAGUGAGGAAGAACGCCUGGUGGUUAAUACCCAUCAGGAAAGACAUCACUCACAGAAGAAGCACCGGCUAACUCCGUGCCAGCAGCCGCGGUAAUACGGAGGGUGCGAGCGUUAAUCGGAAUUACUGGGCGUAAAGCGCGCGUAGGUGGCUUGAUAAGCCGGUUGUGAAAGCCCCGGGCUCAACCUGGGAACGGCAUCCGGAACUGUCAAGCUAGAGUGCAGGAGAGGAAGGUAGAAUUCCCGGUGUAGCGGUGAAAUGCGUAGAGAUCGGGAGGAAUACCAGUGGCGAAGGCGGCCUUCUGGACUGACACUGACACUGAGGUGCGAAAGCGUGGGUAGCAAACAGGAUUAGAUACCCGUGUAGUC
rnacentral:rRNA from 1 species